rnacentral:rRNA from 1 species
ACUCAAAUGAAUUGACGGGGGCCCGCACAAGCGGUGGAGCAUGUGGAUUAAUACGUCACUAACCGUAGAACCUUACCCAGGCUUGACAUCCAGGGAAUCUUCCUGAAAGGGAGGAGUGCUCGCAAGAGAGCCCUGAGACAGGUGUUGCAUGGCUGUCGUCAGCUCGUGUCGUGAGAUGUUGGGUUAAGUCCCGCAACGAGCGCAACCCUCAUCGUCUGUUGCCAGCACCCGCAAGGGGAUGGGCACUCUGACGGAACUGCCCGGGCAACCGGGAGGAAGGUGGGGACGACGUCAAGUCAGCAUGGCCCUUACGCCUGGGGCUUCACACAUGCUACAAUGGCCGGUACAAAGGGUUCCGAUCCCGCGAGGGGGGGGCAAUCCCAAAAAGCCGGUCUCAGUUCGGAUCGCAGGCUGCAACUCGCCUGCGUGAAGUCGGAAUCGCUAGUAACCGCCGGUCAGCUAAACGGCGGUGAAUACGUUCCCGGGCCUUGUACACACCGCCCGU